rnacentral:lncRNA from 10 species
UUCACAACCAUCUGAAUGCUCAACACAAACAGCUGAGAUGGGGUUAAGCCAGAGCAAAGACUCACAUUAAGCUAGACACGGCUCAUUUGUGCAUUCAGGAUGGAGCUCCACUCUGUCCAGAAAUAUUUUCAACAGACAGAAGAAAAGAUGGCACAGGCAAUUAGGAUACAUCCUCCUUCUGCCAGCUUUGACCCAAGGACUAGGACUGUCAUGAACCAGCAAGUUAGAGCCAUCAGAGGGUUCAACCUCAAGGAGGUGGAGAAGACAGAGACAGAGGAAUGCAGGCAGAAGAUAAGAGCAAGUUAUUGACUCCAUCAGCUCCCAUGACACACCAGACUACAAGCCACUUGAGGUGCAAGCUCUGCCUUUGCCUUCCACCAUGAUUAU